CUCGUAAGAGCAAAGCAGGGGACCUUCGGGCCUUGCGCUACCGGGUAUGCCCAGGUGGGAUUAGCUAGUUGGUGGAGGUAAGGGCUCACCAAGGCGACGAUCCCUAGCUGGUCUGAGAGGAUGAUCAGCCACACUGGAACUGAGACACGGUCCAGACUCCUACGGGAGGCAGCAGUGGGGAAUAUUGCACAAUGGGCGCAAGCCUGAUGCAGCCAUGCCGCGUGUAUGAAGAAGGCCUUCGG
rnacentral:rRNA from 1 species